UGUGUGACACUGCUGCU
rnacentral:misc_RNA from 1 species